CCCUUAGAUGUUCUGGGCAGCACGCGCGCUACAACGGUCUUCGCAAACGGAUGCAUUCUCGAAGGAGAAUGCCAAUCUUGGAAUCUAUGCCUUGGUCGGGACAGUUGCUUGCAAUUUUUCGACUCGAACCAGGAAUUCCUUGUAAUCGUGAUUCAUCACAUCACGAUGAAUACGUCCCUGCCCUUUGUACACACCGCCCGUCGCUCCUACCGAUCGAAGAGUUAGGUGAAUUGUUUUGAUCGAUAAGAUUUGACUAUGGUCAACUCUCGUUGUGAAAUUCUGUGAAGCUGACUGUUUAGAGGAAGGAAAAGUCGUAACA
rnacentral:rRNA from 1 species